rnacentral:rRNA from 1 species
CCUACGGGAGUCAGCAGUGAGGAAUAUUGGUCAAUGGGCGCUAGCCUGAACCAGCCAAGUAGCGUGAAGGAUGACUGCCCUAUGGGUUGUAAACUUCUUUUAUAUGGGAAUAAAGUGCAGUAUGUAUACUGCUUUGCAUGUACCUUAUGAAUAAGGAUCGGCUAACUCCGUGCCAGCAGCCGAGGUAAUACGGAGGAUCCGAGCGUUACCCGGAUUUAUUGGGUUUAACGGGAGCGUAGGCGGUUUGUUAAGUCAGUUGUGAAAGUUUGCGGCUCAACCGUAGAAUUGCAGUUGAUACUGGCAGCCUUGAGUACAGUAGAGGUAGGCGGAAUGCGUGGUGUAGCGGUGAAAUGCUUAGAUAUCACGCAGAACUCCGAUUGCGAAGGCAGCCUGCUGGACUGUAACUGACGCUGAUGCACGAAAGCGCGGGUAUCGAACAGGAUUAGAUACCACUGUAGUC